GACGAACGCUGGCGGCGUGCUUAACACAUGCCAGUCGAACGGAAAGGCCCUGCUUUUGUGGGGUGCUCGAGUGGCGAACGGGUGAGUAACACGUGAGUAACCUGCCCUUGACUUUGGGAUAACUUCAGGAAACUGGGGCUAAUACCGGAUAGGAGCUCCUGCUGCAUGGUGGGGGUUGGAAAGUUUCGGCGGUUGGGGAUGGACUCGCGGCGUAUCAGCUUGUUGGUGGGGUAGUGGCUUACCAAGGCUUUGACGGGUAGCGGGCCGGAGAGGGUGAGCGGGGAGAGUGGGAGGGAGAGACGGCGCAGAGGGGUAGGGGGGGGAGGGGGGGGGAGUAGUGGGGAAUGGGGGGAAGGCUGGUGGAGGAGGGGGGGGGGGGGGAGGAGGGGGGUGGGGGGGUAGGCCGGGUGGGGGGGGGAGGAAGGGGGAGUGAGGGUAAUGGGUAAAGAAGCACCGGGUAACUACGUG
rnacentral:rRNA from 1 species